GACUAACGCUGGCGGCGUGCCUAACACAUGCAAGUCGAACGAUUCUUUGAUUUAUAGCAAUAUUUAUUAAAGAGGAGUGGCGAACGGGUGAGUAACACGUAGAUAAUCUGCCUUUCAGACGGGGACAACUCAGGGAAACUUGUGCUAAUACCCGAUGAGACCACAAGAAGGGAUUUUUGUGGCCAAAGGCGGGCAGCAAUGCUCGUGCUGAAAGAUGAGUCUGCGUCCUAUCAGCUAGUUGGUGGGGUAAAUGCCUACCAAGGCUAAGACGGGUAGCCGGCCUGAGAGGGUGAACGGCCACACUGGGACUGAGACACGGCCCAGACUCCUACGGGAGGCAGCAGUGAGGAAUUUCCGCAAUGGGCGCAAGCCUGACGAGCGACGCCGCGUGAGGGAUGACAGCUUUCGGGUUGUAAACCGUCUUUUAAUUAAGGAAAAAGAUACUAUAUGCUAAUAUCAUGUAGAUUUGAUGGUACUUAUUGAAUAAGCCCGGCUAACUACG
rnacentral:rRNA from 1 species